rnacentral:rRNA from 1 species
AGGGGGAACCUAUACAUGCAGUCGAGCGGACAGAUGGGAGCUUGCUCCCUGAUGUUAGCGGCGGACGGGUGAGUAACACGUGGGUAACCUGCCUGUAAGACUGGGAUAACUCCGGGAAACCGGGGCUAAUACCGGAUGCUUGUUUGAACCGCAUGGUUCAGACAUAAAAGGUGGCUUCGGCUACCACUUACAGAUGGACCCGCGGCGCAUUAGCUAGUUGGUGAGGUAAUGGCUCACCAAGGUUGCGAUGCGUAUCCAACCUGAGAGGGUGAUCGGCCACUCUGGGACUGACACCCCGCCCUUACUCCUACUGGAGGCAGCCAUACGGAAUCUUCCGCAAUGGACAAAGGUCUGACCGAACAUCGCCGCGUGAGUGAUGAAGGUUUUCGGAUCGUACAUCUCUGUUGUUAGGGAAGAACAAGUACCGUUCGAAUAGGGCGGUACCUUGACGGUACCUAACCAGAAAGCCACGGCUAACUACGUGCCAGCAGCCGCGGUAAUACGUAGGUGGCAAGCGUUGUCCGGAAUUAUUGGGCGUAAAGGGCUCGCAGGCGGUUUCUUAAGUCUGAUGUGAAAGCCCCCGGCUCAACCGGGGAGGGUCAUUGGAAACUGGGGAACUUGAGUGCAGAAGAGGAGAGUGGAAUUCCACGUGUAGCGGUGAAAUGCGUAGAGAUGUGGAGGAACACCGAUGGCGAAGGCGACUCUCUGGUCUGUAACUGACGCUGAGGAGCGAAAGCGUGGGGAGCGAACAGGAUUAGAUACCCUGGUAGUCCACGCUGUAAACGAUGAGUGCUAAGUGUUAGGGGGUUUCCGCCCUUUAGUGCUGCAGCUAACGCAUUAAGCACUCCGCCUGGGGAGUACGGUCGCAAGACUGAAACUCAAAGGAAUUGACGGGGGCCCGCACAAGCGGUGGAGCAUGUGGUUUAAUUCGAAGCAACGCGAAGAACCUUACCAGGUCUUGACAUCCUCUGACAAUCCUAGAGAUAGGACGUCCCCUUCGGGGGCAGAGUGACAGGUGGUGCAUGGUUGUCGUCAGCUCGUGUCGUGAGAUGUUGGGUUAAGUCCCGCAACGAGCGCAACCCUUGAUGUUAGUUGCCAGCAUUCAGUUGGGCACUAUAAGGUGACUGCCGGUGACAAACCGGAGGAAGGUGGGGAUGACGUCAAAUCAUCAUGCCCCUUAUGACCUGGGCUACACACGUGCUACAAUGGACAGAACAAAGGGCAGCGAAACCGCGAGGUUAAGCCAAUCCCACAAAUCUGUUUUCAGUUCGGAUCGCAGUCUGCAACUCGACUGCGUGAAGCUGGAAUCGCUAGUAAUCGCGGAUCAGCAUGCCGCGGUGAAUACGUUCCCGGGCCUUGUACACACCGCCCGUCACACCACGAGAGUUUGUAACACCCGAAGUCGGUGAGGUAACCUUUAGGAGCCAGCCGCCGAUAGAGUUCACCCAUUC